rnacentral:rRNA from 1 species
UGAGGAAUAUUGGUCAAUGGACGAGAGUCUGAACCAGCCAAGUAGCGUGAAGGAUGACUGCCCUAUGGGUUGUAAACUUCUUUUAUAUGGGAAUAAAGUGCAGUAUGUAUACUGUUUUGUAUGUACCAUACGAAUAAGGAUCGGCUAACUCCGUGCCAGCAGCCGCGGUAAUACGGAGGAUCCGAGCGUUAUCCGGAUUUAUUGGGUUUAAAGGGAGCGUAGGCGGAUUAUUAAGUCAGUUGUGAAAGUUUGCGGCUCAACCGUAAAAUUGCAGUUGAUACUGGUAGUCUUGAGUGCAGCAGAGGUAGGCGGAAUUCGUGGUGUAGCGGUGAAAUGCUUAGAUAUCACGAAGAACUCCGAUUGCGAAGGCAGCUUACUGGACUGUAACUGACGCUGAUGCUCGAAAGUGUGGGUAUCAAACAGGAUUAGAUACCCUGGUAGUCCACACAGUAAACGAUGAAUACUCGCUGUUUGCGAUAUACAGUAAGCGGCCAAGCGAAAGCGUUAAGUAUUCCACCUGGGGAGUACGCCGGCAACGGUGAAACUCAAAGGAAUUGACGGGGGCCCGCACAAGCGGAGGAACAUGUGGUUUAAUUCGAUGAUACGCGAGGAACCUUACCCGGGCUUGAAUUGCAACUGAAUGAUGUGGAGACAUGUCAGCCGCAAGGCAGUUGUGAAGGUGCUGCAUGGUUGUCGUCAGCUCGUGCCGUGAGGUGUCGGCUUAAGUGCCAUAACGAGCGCAACCCUUAUCGAUAGUUACCAUCAGGUUAUGCUGGGGACUCUGUCGAGACUGCCGUCGUAAGAUGUGAGGAAGGUGGGGAUGACGUCAAAUCAGCACGGCCCUUACGUCCGGGGCUACACACGUGUUACAAUGGGGGGUACAGAAGGCAGCUACACGGCGACGUGAUGCUAAUCCCUAAAGCCUCUCUCAGUUCGGAUUGGAGUCUGCAACCCGACUCCAUGAAGCUGGAUUCGCUAGUAAUCGCGCAUCAGCCACGGCGCGGUGAAUACGUUCCC